rnacentral:ncRNA from 1 species
CUUAUCAUGAGCGGUGGAGGAACGGGUCCUGUGAAGCCGCGGCAACCGCGCCCCAUAUCGGGUGAAUGGUGCCAAGUCCUGCGGCGUGUACGCCGGAAGAUGAGG